rnacentral:rRNA from 1 species
GUCCAGACUCCUACGGGAGGCAGCAGUGGGGAAUAUUGCACAAUGGGGGAAACCCUGAUGCAGCGACGCCGCGUGGGCGAGGAAGUACCUCGGUAUGUAAAGCCCUAUCAGCAGGGAAGAAACAGGACAGUACCUGACUAAGAAGCCCCGGCUAACUACGUGCCAGCAGCCGCGGUAAUACGUAGGGGGCAAGCGUUAUCCGGAUUUACUGGGUGUAAAGGGAGCGUAGACGGCGAUGCAAGCCAGAUGUGAAAGCCCGGGGCUCAACCCCGGGACUGCAUUUGGAACUGUAUAGCUAGAGUGUCGGAGAGGCAGGCGGAAUUCCUAGUGUAGCGGUGAAAUGCGUAGAUAUUAGGAGGAACACCAGUGGCGAAGGCGGCUUACUGGACUGUAACUGACGUUGAGGCUCGAAAGCGUGGGGAGCAAACAGGAUUAGAUACCCCCGUAC